GAGAUAUGUCAAGCUGGUAGAUUCGUUUUUUUUUUGUUUUUUUUUUUUAAAGGAAUCUACAGUUCUCUUCAGAUUAACAAGGGGGUUAGUACAUAGGCUCCACCAUACUCAUUGGACUCCAUUAAUUAAAGGUGAUUUCCCAGAUAGAAUUGUAAAAUAUGAAAAGCCAUCACCUGCAUCUCUGCUUGCAUGGAGGACUAGGGUUGAGGAUACAGAAAUACCUGAGGAGAGCAACCCAUCCAGCUUCAUUUCUAGUUUUCACCUGGCAUCAUCCACACACUAUCUAGGGCUAACAGAUUUAACAAAUAAAAAUACAGGAUGCUUGGCUAAAUUUGAAUUUCAGAUAAACAACACAUACUUUUUUGGUUUAAGUAUAUCCCCAGAUUCAAAUUUAACUGGCAUUCUGUAUUUUAUCUGGCAACAUUAUCAGUAGCAUUAGUCAUUAUCACGAAUGUCCUCAUGGUCUCCUCUCUUCCUAGGAAGGCACUUUCACAUACAUCACAACUUGCAGUUCUGUGUGCAAGGCUUUCAGGUGCUUUUGUUCUGGGCCCAAAAUUUUAUAAUUCCUCUCAUGGACCAGGGGAGGUGCAGGUUCAGACUCCGUCAGCAGGGGGCACCAUUCUCUAAAAAUAGAUUCCCAAGAGAGUUCCAGGGGCUUCAGGAAGGGGAAGGGGGGACACGUGAGAGUUGAAGGUUCUAUUUGCUGCUCCUGUCUUCCCCCUGGAGCUCACUUCUCACCCUGCCAUCCUGCCAAAGCUAUUUUUGUGAAUCAAGAAUCUGAUCCUGUCACUCCACUCCUCACUUCCAGGGUUCCACUGUUACCUUCUCAAUGCACCAUAAAAAGCCCUUCAGGAUCCCACUGGAGUCUCUUUUGCCUGCAUCAUCAACUCCUGCUACUUCCAGCUUGCUUAUCCCACCCACCUCACACUCCCGGCACCCCCAUUCACCAGCAACUAUUUGUAGUUUCCCUGUAUGCUAUUUACUGUCAUGCCUUUGUGCCUGAAAUUUCCUCUUAGAAUUCCUUUUCCAAUUGGUCCUAGUGACUGUUCAUUCAACACAUUUCACCAUUAUGCAUUCAGAUGAAUCAUAUAACAGGCACCACACUCUGAAUUGCAGGUACAAUGAAGCAGGCCACUGACUGGAGCCUUGAUUACAAUUCACAUUGAGGGUUAUGGGAAGAGGGACAAUAAACAAACAAAUAAACAAGGCAGUGAGUUCAAGGGUUAACUAACAUGUUUUACUCAAAUAGAGUUGACUGUUCAUACCUAGGGCCUCUGAUGGCUUUCAUGUUGAAGGUUCUAAGUCCCAACACCCACAAAAUCAUUGCUGAGAAUAUGCAGGAGUGAAGCAGUUAGGUUUAAGUCAGUAGGAAAGGGAGUGGGCAGCGGGUGAAGGAGAGUAUGACCUGUGAUAAAUUGAGAGUGCUUGUCCCACCUACAAUGUGCAGUGACUUUUCACUUCCUGAUUGAGGCCAAAUUUGUUAUUUUAAGAAAAGUUGGGGCUUGGGAUGUGGCUCAAGUGGUAGUGUGCUUGCCUGGCAUGCGUGAGGCACUGGGUUUGAUCCUCAGCACCACAUAAAGAUAAAAUAAAGGUAUUGUGUUCACCUAAAAAACUAAAAAAA
rnacentral:lncRNA from 1 species